GCAAGUCGAACGAAGUAGCAAUACUUAGUGGCAGACGGGUGAGUAACAUGUAGGUAUCUGCCCUUUGGCCUGGAAUAACACGAGGAAACUUGUGCUAAUACCGGAUAAGUCUUUACGGAGAAAGCUUUAUGCACCACUGGAUGAGCCUGCACUUGAUUAGUUUGUUGGUAGGGUAAUGGCCUACCAAGACUGUGAUCAAAAGCUGAUUUGAGAGGAUGAUCAGCCACAUUGGGACUGAGACACGGCCCAAACUCCUACGGGAGGCAGCAGUGGGGAAUCUUGCACAAUGGAGGAAACUCUGAUGCAGCGAUGCCGCGUGAGUGAAGAAGGCCUUUGGGUUGUAAAGCUCUUUCGUCGGGGAAGAAAAUGACUGUACCCGAAUAAGAAGGUCCGGCUAACUUCGUGCCAGCAGCCGCGGUAAUACGAAGGGACCUAGCGUAGUUCGGAAUUACUGGGCUUAAAGAGUUCGUAGGUGGUUGAAAAAGUUGGUGGUGAAAUCCCAGAGCUUAACUCUGGAACUGCCAUCAAAACUUUUCAGCUAGAGUUUGAUAGAGGAAAGCAGAAUUUCUAGUGUAGAGGUGAAAUUCGUAGAUAUUAGAAAGAAUACCAAUUGCGAAGGCAGCUUUCUGGAUCAUUACUGACACUGAGGAACGAAAGCAUGGGUAGCGAAGAGGAUUAGAUACCCUCGUAGUCCAUGCCGUANACGAUGUGUGUUAGACGUUGGAAAUUUAUUUUCAGUGUCGCAGCAAAAGCGAUAAACACACCGCCUGGGGAGUACGACCGCAAGGUUAAAACUCAAAUGAAUUGACGGGGACCCGCACAAGAAGUGGAGCAU
rnacentral:rRNA from 1 species